AGAUGAGCCAGUUUAUCCAUCUAGGUGGUACCAGCUGAUCCAUCAAGUGCAAAGUCUGCAAAAUAUCUCAAGCACGGAUCUUAGGUUUUACAACAGUGUUGCUCUCCCCGGGAGCAAUUUGGGGAGGGUCAGAACCUUGUAGCCUCCAGCUACAUGACUCCUAAACCAGAAUUUGUAAUCUUGUGGCUAAUUUGUUAGCCCUACAAAGGAAGUCUAGUCCUCAGGCAGGAAGGGGGUUUUGUUUUGGAAAAGGGCUGUUGUCCUCUUUGUUUCAAAGUUAAACUAUGAGUAAGUUCCUCUCAAAGUUAGUUUGGCCUACACCCAAGAAUGAACAAGGACAGGUUAGACUCUAAUCUAGAAAUCUAGAAGCAAGAUGGAGUUGGUUAGGGCAGAUUUUUUUUUUUUUUUGAGACAUAGUUUCGCUCUGUCAUCCAGGCUGGAGUGCAGCGGCGCGAACUCUGGCUCACUGCAAGCCCCGCCUCCCAGGUUCGCGCCAUUUUCCUGCCUCAGCCUCCUGAGUAGCUGGGUCUACAGGCGCCCGCCAUCACGCCCGGCUAAUUUUUUGUGCUUUUAAUAGAGAUGGGGUUUCACCGUGUUAGCCAGGAUGGUCUUGAUCUCCUGACCUCAUGAUCCGCCCUCCUCGGCCUCCCAAAGUGCUGGGAUUACAGGUGUGAGUCACCGCGCUCGGCCAGGGCAAAUCUCUUUAACUAUUAUAAUUUUCUCAGUUAUAAUCUUGCCAUGGUGGUUUCAAAAGGUGACUGGAAGAAAGCGGAAGGAAUGCUUGCCUCAUCUUGCAGACAUCAGGUGCAUUCCUGAGAAGCUACAGGUGCACAACCUUAGUCAGGCUCUGGGGAUACAGAAGUAACAAGAAGACCAGACCCUUGUUCCAAUGGAGGAGACAUCCUGGGACAUUGUCUAAAAACCAACCUGCUCCAAAUCUUAUCUCAGGCUCUGCUUUCAAAAGAACUCAAACCAGGUCAGUGGCAUUGCAUACAGGCAACUGGCAGAAGUUGGAAGUACCCCAAAGGAAUAUCUAUCUACCCAUCUGUCCUGCCACAAAACAGAUCAUUCUCAACAGCAGUGGAAAUAGAAUCAGCUCCAUUGCCUGGGAAUCAUUCUUGUCAGGAGUGCUUUCGUUCUAACCUAGGUAAAGGAUCCAAACAAGCAGACUACACACAGAAAGAUGACUUCAUUUCUUCACCGAGUGUUUCGUGAGUGUCUGCUGCAUGCUGGACACUAGCAAAGGCAGAAGGAAUUCAACCACAACUGAAAUGAACACCGGGUAUCCAAGGGCAGGAGGAAAAUGCUGGAGAAAGGACCUCAAGUCAAGUGAUGGAUGGCUUCAAGGAAGGCACAACAGAGAGCUGUUGGGGUCCAGGAGAAGAAGUAUGUAAUUCUGUCUGGGUGGAGUGGGCAGAAGCAAACAAACAAACAAAAAUGUUUCUUUUCGGGCAUGGUAGCUCACAUCUGUAAUCCCAGCACUCUGAGAGGCUGAGAGAGGAGGGUCACUUGAGCUCAGGAGCUCAAGAUCAGCCUGUGCAAUGUAGCGAGACCUCAUCUCUAUGAAAAAUAUAAAAAUUAGCCAGGCAUGAUGGCAUGUACCUGUAGUCCCAGUUAUUCUGGAGACUGAAGUCAAGGCUGCAGAGAGCUAUAAUUGUGCAGCUGUACUCCAACCUAGGCAACAGAUCAAGGCCCUGUCUCGCAACUACAACAACAAAAACAAAAAAAUGGUUCCAUAGUAGAAGUAAUGCCCAAGCUGAGCUUUGCAAUGCGAGUCAAGAAUACCUGGGAUGAUGUUGGGAAAAGGAAAUUCAAAUUCUAUAUCAGACUUCUUCAUAAUUCCUGUCAUUAAAGAACUCUCAGCCCACUUCCCUCAAAGCCUACCAUCAGCCCAAACUUUCAGUGGAAUUCAUAAUUAUUGUUCAGCUCCACUUGUAAUUUUCUUUUUGGAAACACUUGAUUGGAAGAUGAUUAUGAGAGGGUUAAUGAAAAAAAGAGCCCCCAAAAAUGCUAAACGCCAGGACGUCAGAUGAUGGAGAGAGAGGAUCCCUUGAAUCUAAUUUAAACUAAAAAGAUGUUUUUGAAACCAAAAAUAAAUCUUGCUCCAGAGUGAUUACCAGAUAAAACAUUUUAGUUAGUGGAUGGUGGACUGGCCCAUAUUUCAUGUUUCCCGUCAAUGUUCACUCUCUGUGCUACCUGAAGGGUCUGAGUGUUCAGCUGAUGAAUGUUUUGUGACUUUAAAAGACUAUUUAUCACCACCACAGCUAAUGCAAUUUUCCAAAGCAUAAUCCAAAGGCGUUUUGUGAAAAGAAUUUCCUGCCUGAAAGUGUCCCCAUCGUUACCUUUCUAGACUGUAGGUGGGGGCCACCCAACUUCUUGAGGCCUGACAAUUAUGUGAUAGGAUAUGGUUUCCUGCUCCUUCACCUCUUUUUUUUUUAAUGUUUAUUUUAGAUUCAGGGAGUACCUGUGCAGGUUUGUUACAUGGUACAUUGUGUGUUGCUGAGAUUUGGUGUACAAAUGAUCCCAUCACCCAGGUAGUGAGCAUAGUACCAGACAGGUAGUUUUUUAACCCCAGCUCUCUUCACAUCCUCCUCCCUCAAGUAGAUCCUGGUGUCUGUUGUUUCCAUCUUUGUGUCUUUAUGUACUCAGUGUUUAGCUCCUGCUUAUAAGUGGGAGCAUGCAAUAUUUGGUUUUCAGUUUCUAUGUUCGUUUGCUUAGAAUAAUGGCCUCCAACUGCAUCCAUGUUGCUGCAAAGAACAUGCUUUUGUUCCUUUUUUAUGCCUGUGUAGUAUUGCACGGUGUAUAUGCACAUUUUCAUUAUCCGAUCCACUGUCAAUGAGCAUCUAGGUUGAUUCCAUAUCUUUGCUAUUGUCCUCCACCUUUUUGUUCUGGCUUAGCCCCAACAGGCUCCCUGUUUCCUCCCUCUUUUCUUGUAAUCCUCCUCCCCUGCCCUGGUAGAAAUGGUGGUCUGGGAUAUUGUUAUGUGUAUAUUCACAUGAGAGUUUGAUGCUUUGGAAAUUCUCCUCUCAGUGACUAAAAAGUUCUUUUUGGAAGACCAAGUAUAAAGGAAGAGCAAUAACUGGGUGAAGAUGGCACCUGGGUAAAGUGGAGGCAGCAGGGAGAUAGAUAAUGAAAGCAGAAAGAAGGUGGACCAGUAAGAGACUCAUGGGCAUCUAUGUAAAGUGACUCCAGUAGUACCUGGAAGGUGGAACCACACAGAGAGAUUCGCAUCAUCCCAAGGGGCUGCCUUGUCAGCUAUAGAUAAGAUUAAUCCAUUUCUACUCAGAAUCAUUAGAAGGUUUCAGUGAUAUGUCUAAGAAUUAUUCUAUUGAUAGGUAGAAAAGAAUUUUAUUACAGUUAAAGGGCCAUGUGUAUACCUUGACAAAAUCAACAGUUCCUAUUUCAUCUGGAUUGUUUGCUUGACUUACAUUGCACAGGUUGUGAGGUUUGUUUUUAACAAUUUUUUUUUCUUGAGAUGGAGUCUCGCUCUGUCACCCAGGCUGGAGUGCAAUGGCGCGAUCUCGGCUCACUGCAACCUCCGCCUCCCGAGUUCAAGCAAUUCUCCUGCCCCAGCCUCCUAAGUAGCUGGGACUACAGGCAAGCGCCACUAUGCCCAGCCAAUUUUUUGUAUUUUUAGUAGAGAUGGGGUUUCACUCUGUUAGCCAGGAUGAUCUCGAUCUCUUGACCUCAUGAUCCACCUGCCUUGGCCUCUCGAAGUGCUGGGAUUACAGGCAUGAGCCACUGCUCCCGGCUAAUAAAAUGUUUUAAGCAUACGAAAAAUAUGCAGAAUAAUAUGAAGACCACCUGCGCUCACUCAAUCCACAUUGUCAAACCUACAUUUUAUUACAUCUGCCUCAGAUAAUUCUUCUACUUUAAAAAAAAAAUAAAAUUCUGCAGAUAGGCCCAGAAAUUCUAAUCUUGGACUUUUCCUCCAAGUAAAAUGAACAGUUAUAGUCUCACAAAAAUCUGUACAUGAAUGGUCAGAGUGGCUUUAUUUAUAAUCACCCAAAUCUGAUAGCAAUCCACACAGCUUCUGAGGGGUGAAAGGAUAACAAAUCAUGGUAUAUCAAUUCAAUAGAAUACUACUCAGCAAUUAAAAUCAGGAAACUACCAAUACACACAACAACAUGGAUGAAUUUCAAGUGUGUUUUUAGUGACGAAACCCAUACUCAAAGGCUGCAUGACUGCAUUUUUAUAUUUCAGAAAAAGCUAACUUUAUAGAUAAAAAACAGAUUAGUACAUGCCAAAGGCUGGACGUGGAGAGGACUGACUACAAAAGGGGAUGAGGAAAUUUAGGGGGUGAUAAGCCUGUUCUGUAUCUUGAUUUUGGUGGUGGCUACAUUAUAGUGUUUGGCAAAACUCACAGAACUGUACCCCAUGAUGAAUGACUUUUAUUGCAUUUAUUUUUUAUUUUAAUAAAGAAGAGAAAAAAUAGUAACGAACAUUUGUUUAAAGUCA
rnacentral:tRNA from 10 species